GAGGCAGCUGCCAUUUUCUGGUCAGAGGCAGCCUGCUAUGGAAAAGAUGUGCACGCUGCAUUUUCACCUAGCAUCCGUCAUCUUCUGCUGAGAUGAAGAACCAAUUUGCUCCAGGUUUUCCCCUGAACUUCCUUUCUUGAGGCUUUACAUGAGACAAAAAUAAAGAAUUUUCCUGCUUUCACUUAUGGGCCAUAUUUGAUCCUCAGCAGCAGUUUGUCUAUAUAAUUGUUAGUUGGAGUGGUUUUUAUAGUUGCGUUUAAGUGUCUUGUAACUGAGAAUAGAAUUUGCCCUACGCAUCUGUGUACAGUGUAUUGCAUCAUGCUCCUUUACUCUUGUUUCGCCUUUUGUGAGCGAGCCACAAAUUUCAAAACAACUUGACAUUUUAUUGCAAAGUACUAGACCAGAAGCCAGUCCUUCUAGACCAGUCCUCACUGGUGAGUUUUUCAAUUCUGUCUCACUUGUCUGUCUUAGAUAAUCCAGCUCCAUGUACAAUAGAGAGCCUUACUUUACUUAUGGUGUAAUGUGAAAAAAAUACUAUAACUUGGAAAUAAAAUCCCAGCAAUAACUAUUUAGCUUCCUCCCUGAAGACAAGCAGCAUGCUAACAAUCUGUUGUUAUGUUUUAGAGAAAAUUACAGCUCAUAAAAAUAAAUCCUUAAUAUAUUAUUA